GGACGAACGCUGGCGGCGUGCUUAACACAUGCAAGUCGAACGGUGACCCACCUUCGGGUGGCGAUCAGUGGCGAACGGGUGAGUAACACGUGGGCAACCUGCCCCUAGCUCUGGGAUAAACCUCGGGAAACCGAGGCUAAUAUCGGAUAUCACUCCGAGCGGCAUCACUCGGAGUUGAAAGGAUUCUGGCUAGGGAUGGGCCCGCGGCCUAUCAGCUUGUUGGUGGGGUAAUGGCCACCAAGGCGACGACGGGUAGCCGGCCUGAGAGGGCGACCGGCCACACU
rnacentral:rRNA from 1 species